rnacentral:rRNA from 1 species
AUUGAACGUUGGCGGCACGCCUAAUACAUGCAAGUCGAACGAGAAAGCACUUCGGUGUGAGUACAGUGGCGGACGGGUGAGUAACGCGUAGGAAUCUACCUAGUAGUGGGGGACAACUCGAGGAAACUCGAGCUAAUACCGCAUACGCUCUUAGGAGGAAAGUGGGGGAUCUUCGGACCUCACGCUAUUAGAGGAGCCUGCGUUAGAUUAGCUUGUUGGUGAGGUAAAGGCUCACCAAGGCGACGAUCUAUAGCUGGUCUGAGAGGACGAUCAGCCACACUGGAACUGAGACACGGUCCAGACUCCUACGGGAGGCAGCAGUAGGGAAUCUUGGGCAAUGGGCGAAAGCCUGACCCAGCGAUGCCGCGUGUGCGAAGAAGGCCUUAGGGUUGUAAAGCACUUUCAGUCGUGAAGAAAAGCUACGAUUUAAUAUGUCGUGGUCUUGACGUUAGCGACAGAAGAAGUACCGGCUAACUCCGUGCCAGCAGCCGCGGUAAUACGGAGGGUACGAACGUUAAUCGGAAUUACUGGGCGUAAAGCGCGCGUAGGCGGUUUGAUAAGUGGGAUGUGAAAGCCCCGGGCUCAACCUGGGAACUGCAUUCCAAACUGUCAAACUAGAGUGUGGUAGAGGGCGGUAGAAUUUCCUGUGUAGCGGUGAAAUGCGUAGAUAUAGGAAGGAAUACCGAUGGCGAAGGCAGCCGCCUGG